rnacentral:rRNA from 1 species
CGCGUAGGCGGUCUUUUAAGUCAGGUGUGAAAGCCCGGGGCUCAACCCCGGAAGUGCACUUGAAACUAAGAGACUUGAGUAUGGGAGAGGGAAGUGGAAUUCCUGGUGUAGCGGUGAAAUGCGUAGAUAUCAGGAGGAACAUCGGUGGCGAAGGCGACUUCCUGGACCAAUACUGACGCUGAGGCGCGAAGGCGGUGGGGAGCAAACA